UGGGGAAUAUUGGGCAAUGGAGGAAACUCUGACCCAGCGACGCCGCGUGAGGGAUGAAGGCCUUCGGGUUGUAAACCUCUUUCAGUAGGGAAGAAGCGAAAGUGACGGUACCUACAGAAGAAGCACCGGCUAACUAUGUGCCAGCAGCCGCGGUAAUACAUAGGGUGCAAGCGUUGUCCGGAAUUAUUGGGCGUAAAGAGCUCGUAGGUCGUUUGUUACGUCGGAUGUGAAAACCUGAGGCUCAACCUCAGGCCUGCAUUCGAUACGGGCAAACUAGAGUUUGGUAGGGGAGACUGGAAUUCCUGGUGUAGCGGUGGAAUGCGCAGAUAUCAGGAGGAACACCAAUGGCGAAGGCAGGUCUCUGGGCCACUACUGACACUGAGGAGCGAAAGCGUGGGGAGCGAACAGGAUUAGAUACCCUGGUAGUCCACGCCGUAAACGGUGGGCACUAGUUGUGGGAACCUUCCACGGUUUCUGCGACGCAGCUAACGCAUUAAGUGCCCCGCCUGGGGAGUACGAUCGCAAGAUUA
rnacentral:rRNA from 1 species